CGUCAGGUCUGAGUUGACUCUCAGCCUUUUGGGCUGUAUAUUUCUUCAAAGUCGAGCGCCAGUUUCUUAGUCAGCUCUAACUAAUUUCAGAGUGGAAGGGAAACUUGACUGGAGUGCUGUUUGGGAUCUGCUUUUUAAUCCUGGUCUGUUUAAUGUUUGCUCCUGACAGUCUAGGCCAGACAUCAUUUUAAUGGUAUGUGUGGUGAUAAAGCCAAUAAACUGUCAAGAUGAUUGAUAAUCUAAGCAUUAUAGCAAUAUGACUUUCCUGUUCUCCUCUGUGCUUUAGAUGAUGGUUUCCAAAUUGAAUUCCUACAGUGUGUGCUGUGUGUGCGUGCCUGUUGGAGGCUCCCCGAACAGCGUUUGAAGGAGGGAGCUGUGUUUAAUGAUCACUGGAUUAGGAACUGGGUAGUUGAUACAGAUGACCUUUAUGAAAUUCUCUGUGUAGAUGCCUUCUCCCUUAUAACUGUGGCCCCUGUAGUCAUCAGAUGAAGACCUAUUGGAAACUUUACUUCAGUAUAUCAGAACGGAGAACUUGACGUUAAAAGGAAAAAGGUAAAGAGACAAGAAAUUACGCAGAAACUUCCAUACUUUUUAUUUUUUCAGUCUUAAUUUCAUUCUGUCCAUUCAUCC
rnacentral:lncRNA from 1 species